UAGGGAAUCUUCGGCAAUGGACGAAAGUCUGACCGAGCAACGCCGCGUGAGUGAAGGAGGUUUUCGGAUCGUAAAACUCUGUUGGUAGAGAAGAACGUUGGUGAGAGUGGAAAGCUCAUCAAGUGACGGUAACUACCCAGAAAGGGCGGCUAACUACGUCCCAG
rnacentral:rRNA from 1 species